rnacentral:rRNA from 1 species
GAUGAACGCUGGCGGCGUGCCUAAUACAUGCAAGUCGAGCGAACGGACGAGAAGCUUGCUUCUCUGAUGUUAGCGGCGGACGGGUGAGUAACACGUGGAUAACCUACCUAUAAGACUGGGAUAACUUCGGGAAACCGGAGCUAAUACCGGAUGAUAUUUUGAACCGCAUGGUUCACAAGUGAAAGACGGUCUUGCUGUCACUUAUAGAUGGAUCCGCGCUGCAUUAGCUAGUUGGUAAGGUAACGGCUUACCAAGGCAACGAUGCAUAGCCGACCUGAGAGGGUGAUCGGCCACACUGGAACUGAGACACGGUCCAGACUCCUACGGGAGGCAGCAGUAGGGAAUCUUCCGCAAUGGGCGAAAGCCUGACGGAGCAACGCCGCGUGAGUGAUGAAGGUCUUCGGAUCGUAAAACUCUGUUAUUAGGGAAGAACAUAUGUGUAAGUAACUGUGCACAUCUUGACGGUACCUAAUCAGAAAGCCACGGCUAACUACGUG